GACGAACUGUCCAAACGUUGUUCGGAAUCACUGGGCUUAAAGGGCGCGUAGGCGGUCUGGUAAGUCAGGGGUGAAAUCCCACAGCUUAACUGUGGAAGUGCCUUUGAUACUGCCAGUCUGGAGGGAGAUAGGGGUGUGCGGAACUUCCAGUGGAGCGGUGAAAUGCGUUGAUAUUGGAAGGAACGCCGGAGGCGAAAGCGGCGCACUGGAUCUCUUCUGACGCUGAGGCGCGAAAGCCAGGGGAGCAAACGGG
rnacentral:rRNA from 1 species